rnacentral:rRNA from 1 species
CCUACGGGGGGCUGCAGUCGAGAGGCUUCGGCAAUGGGGGAAACCCUGACCGAGCGACGCCGCGUGAAGGAUGAAGGCCCUUGGGUUGUAAACUUCUUUUGUCAGCGAAGAAAUGCGAUCAGGUGAAUAAUCUGGUCGCUUGACGGUAGCUGACGAAUAAGCUCCGGCUAACUCCGUGCCAGCAGCCGCGGUAACACGGGGGGAGCAAGCGUUGUUCGGAAUCACUGGGCGUAAAGGGCGUGUAGGCGGUCAGAUAAGUGAGAUGUGAAAUGCCUCGGCUCACCCGAGGACCUGCAUCUCAUACUGUCUGGCUUGAGUACGGGAGAGGAUGAGGGAAUUCCUGGUGUAGCGGUGAAAUGCGUAGAUAUCAGGAGGAACACCGGUGGCGAAGGCGCUCAUCUGGCCCGAUACUGACGCUGAGGCGCGAAAGCUAGGGGAGCAAACGGGAUUAGAUACCCCGGUAGUC